rnacentral:lncRNA from 10 species
CUGCAUCCAUUGACAUUGCACCGGAGGCCAUGGAAGUCCUUCAGCUGGGUGUAUGUGGGCUCCGUGUUCUGGGAAUGAAGUGUCUGCUUCCUGCACUGAGUUACCUUGCAGCAUCUGUGUUGGGGGCCCUGAAAGCCUCCUCACCAGCCAAGUCCCUCUGGAGCUCUCUGGAGCAGGGGGCCUCCUUGUCUUUGUUGCCUGGGGAAGACCUAUGGAGGAAAGAAAUGGAAGUUAACCAUGCAGCAGCCAUUCACACUCAGGUCCUCAGGGAGCCCCAUGUUGUCAAAUCCAGGAGAGACAGUCCCAUCAUUAUUUCAAACCACCAUUCAGUACUGCUGACCCAGUGGGCCACUCCAGCCUUCUCACCACCCCUCCUCCCUUGAUCCUGUCAACACCACCUGCCUACCUCCCUGGCCACACACCUUCCUGGUCUCCGCCUUUUUCUCCUCCCUUUGGCGUGCUCCACCACUUGCUGGGCUGUCUCCUCCCCUCCCAAGGUGUCAACUGCCACCCUUGAAGCAGGGAUCUCCACUUGUUCCUGCCUCUCCUUUAUACUGGCCUGCACACCCACUAACUCCCAACUGGCCCUCAGGAGGCCCACUCUCAACAUGGCGAGAAGAGACUGCCCUCGCCCAGCUGUCCCCAGGAGGGCUGGCCAGGUGGCUGCCACCUGCAUACUGAGGUCGGUGCCCAGCUUCCAUUGGCUCACCAUGAGCCCCAUGUAAAGCUAGUUUACGCUCAUGAUUUCAGCUCUAUUCUGUCUGCAUAUAACGUGGAAAUCUCUUGAGCCCUAAUCACUCUCUCAAACCUCAAUCACAAACCUUAAAAUACCUCCCUCCUGGAAAUUUUGACUUCAAUGCCUACGAAUAAACUCGUCAAAUGAGUUCACU